rnacentral:rRNA from 1 species
CCUACGGGGAGCAGCAGUGAGGAAUAUUGGUCAAUGGGCGAGAGCCUGAACCAGCCAAGUCGCGUGAGGGAAGACGGUACUAUGGAUUGUAAACCUCUUUUGCCGGGGAGCAAAAAGCGGUACGUGUACCGAAUCGAGAGUACCCGGAGAAAAAGCAUCGGCUAACUACGGGCCAGCAGCCGCGGUAAUACGGGGGAUGCGAGCGGUAUCCGUGUUUAUUGGGGUUAAAGGGUGCGCAGGCGGCGAGUCAAGUCAGCGGUAAAAUCCCGAGGCUCAACCCCGGCCCGCCGUUGAAACUGGCAGUCUCCAGUUGGAGAGAAGUAUGCGGAAUGCGCGGUGUAGCGGUGAAAUGCAUAGAUAUCGCGCAGAACUCCGAUUGCGAAGGCAGCAUGCCGGCUCCACACUGACGCUGAGGCACGAAAGCGUGGGUAUCGAACAGGAUUAGAUACCCCGGUAGUC